rnacentral:rRNA from 1 species
UACGUAGGGGGCAAGCGUUGUCCGGAUUUACUGGGCGUAAAGAGCGUGUAGGCGGCCAAACAGGUCCGUUGUGAAAACUGGAGGCUCAACCUCCAGACGUCGACGGAAACCGUAGGGCUAGAGUCCGGAAGAGGAGAGUGGAAUUCCUGGUGUAGCGGUGAAAUGCGCAGAUAUCAGGAAGAACACCAAUGGCGAAGGCAGCUCUCUGGGACGGUACUGACGCUGAGACGCGAAAGCGUGGGGAGCGAACAGG